rnacentral:rRNA from 1 species
CCUACGGGAGGCAGCAGUAGGGAAUCUCGCACAAUGGGGGAAACCCUGAUGCAGCGAUGCCGCGUGAGUGAAGAAGGCCUUUGGGUUGUAAAGCUCUUUCGUCGGGGAAGAAAAUGACUGUACCCGAAUAAGAAGGUCCGGCUAACUUCGUGCCAGCAGCCGCGGUAAUACGAAGGGACCUAGCGUAGUUCGGAAUUACUGGGCUUAAAGAGUUCGUAGGUGGUUAAAAAAGUUGGUGGUGAAAUCCCAGAGCUUAACUCUGGAACUGCCAUCAAAACUUUUUAGCUAGAGUAUGAUAGAGGAAAGCAGAAUUUCUAGUGUAGAGGUGAAAUUCGUAGAUAUUAGAAAGAAUACCAAUUGCGAAGGCAGCUUUCUGGAUCAUUACUGACACUGAGGAACGAAAGCAUGGGUAGCGAAGAGGAUUAGAUACCCUCGUAGUCCAUGCCGUAAACGAUGUGUGUUAGACGUUGGAAAUUUAUUUUCUGUGUCGCAGCGAAAGCAAUAAACACACCGCCUGGGGAGUACGACCGCAAGGUUAAAACUCAAAUGAAUUGACGG